rnacentral:SRP_RNA from 1 species
CCAGCAUCGCUAUUCAAUUGUAAAGCGUGAAACUGGUCAGGCCUUGAUCGGAGCAGCCAUAAGCGAAGUUUAUGAUGUGGAUAGCGAUGCUUGAGG